CCCGCCGUAGCUCAGCCCGGUUCUAGAGCGCCCGGCUGUAGGUGAGGGACUAGCUGAUACCGGGUGGUCCGGGGUUCAAGUCCCCGCGGCGGGA
rnacentral:tRNA from 1 species